UACAGAGGUCUCGAGCGUUAGGCGGAAUCACUGGGCUUAAAGCGUGUGUAGGUGGAUCGUUAAGUACCUUGUGAAAUCCCACGGCUUAACCGUGGAACUGCUUGGUAUACUGGCGGUCUUGAGCCACUUAGGGGCUACCGGAACAAAUGGUGGAGCGGUGAAAUGCGUAGAUAUCAUUUGGAACGCCAAUGGUGAAAACAGGUCGCUGGGAGUGUGCUGACGCUGAGACACGAAAGCCAGGGGAGCAAACGGG
rnacentral:rRNA from 1 species